AAAUCUUCAUUCUGCUUCCUUAGAUUUUGGGCUAAAACCUUCGUAACACACUAUGGGAGAAAACAAACAAAUACUUUUCUACAUUUCUUCACUGGUUCAUUUUAUGCCUACACCAUGGAGACUCCCUGCUAAGCUGUUCAGAGAAAUCCGAGGACAGAUAGCCUUGGUGCCACAUCUGAGACCUUUGCUUACAAUAGCUGACCUGCUCAACAUGGCCCUAACUUGUUUAUCUCAUAGAAUAUUAAGAUACAAGUAUGAGUUUAGAAUUUCCUCGCCCACUUCCCAAUCUUUCUGAGGAUUAUUAGUAGUCUGUGAAGGUUUUCAGGUGGCCCACAAUCUCUCCCUCAUAUCAGGUAAAGAAAUGUAUUCUUGAUAAUAGAUCAAUCAUCAGUAAAGAAAGAGCAGAGGCUUUGGAUUCAGACAGACUUGAACCUGACUUUCAGCAAGUUGUUGUGUGGUUGAAAAGUGUCACUUAUGAUGUGCUCAGUGCUGUGGUUGGCAUAUAGUAGACAGGUCAGAGGUAGUAACAGGUAUUGUAAUGAAAAUCCAAAUUGCCAGCGUGGAACGUUAUCUUAGAGCCUGCCUUUUCCAACAAGUUUUGCAGGAGAUAUUCACAGGAGUUUGGUGCUGUGUUAUUUCUGUUAACAAGCUGGAUCUUGGCAGUGUAUGUGAGCUUCAGGGCCAGGGAAGGGGCACUGUGGAGAGGCAUGGACUUCAUAGCCCCAGGUGAUGAAUGCAUCUUCAUUCCCUCCCCUGUGUGCUACCCCACCACCACCACCAACAACAACAAAGCCCACAGAAUUACAGAGGAAUACAUGUUGAUAUCUCAUAGCAGAUUUGGCCCAUCUGUUAUCUCCAAGAAGGGCAUUCUGAGAGGACAAAACUUGCUCAGUACUCUAAAUUGAGAAAGAAAAAACGAAAACACCACCUAGUUUAUUUAGACAAAAUUAUCAACUGAAACCCAGCAGGCUAACAAUGCCCAUCCCUUGUGAGAAAGAUACUCCAAUGGGUUUUGGAGACUUAGAAAACGUGUUCUUUAUCUUGCUCUUGAGAAUUUUAUGAUUUGGUGGAAGGUGAUUCCCUGUUUUAAACAAAAAUGAAUAAAAGUACCAAUGUGUAUUUAUGUGUCUAUGUAACUUUGCCAGUG
rnacentral:lncRNA from 10 species